GGUGGUAUUUAUUAGGGUAUAAUGGACUUGAAAGAUUAAAGAAUUAGAAAAGAAAUUUUUAAAUUAUUGUGAGGUUUGAAAAAAAAUUGAAAAAAAUAUAGCAUUUAUUGUUGAUUGAAAAACUCUCAAUCCAUGUAAUUGUGUAAGUUUUCAACUUCAAACAAUUGUGAUAAUAAAAUAGAAUAUUUACAAUAAAUACAAGAAAUCUAGCUCUACAUUACCAACUAGCUUAAAGAAUGAUGGUUAGAAAUAUAAUCAUUGAAAAAAUAUUGAACAAAAACUACAAGUUUUUGUAAAGAAAAAAUUGAGACUUGAAGCUUGAAAUUGUGUGGAUGUGCAUACAAAUGAUUGAACAAGAAAAGAAUAAAAAAAAAAUUAAAAAUGAUAGAGAGAGUAGAUUCAUUGAUUCUAUAUCAAAGAAAUUAAGAAAAUUGAAUCUCUUUUAAUGUCAAGAUUCUAAAGAUUAAAAGAUUAGUGAUGAACUUAAUAACAAUAAUAGUGGCAAUCUUUUAAUUCUUAAUACCUAUUUUGCAAGACGUCAAAUAUGUUGCCACUUUGUCUUGUAGUCCUUUAUAGAU
rnacentral:lncRNA from 1 species